CACCGGGAUGUUCAUAACCCUUUGUUGUCCGACUCUGUUGCCUCCGGGGCGACCCUGCCUUCGGGCGGGGGCUCCGGGUGGACACUUCAAACUCUUGCGUAACUUUGCAGUCUGAGUAAACUUAAUUAAUAAAUUAAAACUUUUAACAACGGAUCUCUUGGUUCUGGCAUCGAUGAAGAACGCAGCGAAAUGCGAUAAGUAAUGUGAAUUGCAGAAUUCAGUGAAUCAUCGAAUCUUUGAACGCACAUUGCGCCCCCUGGUAUUCCGGGGGGCAUGCCUGUUCGAGCGUCAUUUCACCACUCAAGCCUCGCUUGGUAUUGGGCAUCGCGGUCCGCCGCGUGCCUCAAAUCGACCGGCUGGGUCUUCUGUCCCCUAAGCGUUGUGGAAACUAUUCGCUAAAGGGUGUUCGGGAGGCUACGCCGUAAAACAACCCCAUUUCUAAGGUUGACCUCGGAUCAGGUAGGGAUACCCGCUGAACUUAAGCAUAUCAAUAA
rnacentral:misc_RNA from 1 species